rnacentral:rRNA from 1 species
GACGAACGCUGGCGGCGUGCUUAACACAUGCAAGUCGAACGGAAAGGCCCUGCUUUUGUGGGGUGCUCGAGUGGCGAGCGGGUGAGUAACACGUGAGAAACCUGCCCUUGACUUUGGGAUAACUUCAGGAAACUGGGGCUAAUACCGGAUAGGAGCUCCUGCUGCAUGGUGGGGGUUGGAAAGUUUCGGCGGUUGGGGAUGGACUCGCGGCUUAUCAGCUUGUUGGUGGGGUAGUGGCUUACCAAGGCUUUGACGGGUAGCCGGCCUGAGAGGGUGACCGGCCACAUUGGGACUGAGAUACGGCCCAGACUCCUACGGGAGGCAGCAGUGGGGAAUAUUGCACAAUGGGCGGAAGCCUGAUGCAGCAACGCCGCGUGCGGGAUGACGGCCUUCGGGUUGUAAACCGCUUUCGCCUGUGACGAAGCGUGAGUGACGGUAAUGGGUAAAGAAGCACCGGCUAACUACGUG